UGGGGAAUUUUGCACAAUGGGGGAAACCCUGAUGCAGCGACGCCGCGUGAUUUAGAAGGCCUUCGGGUUGUAAAAAUCUUUUCUAUGGGAAGAAAAUGACAGUACCAUAGGAAUAAGGACCGGCUAAUUACGUGCCAGCAGCCGCGGUAAUACGUAAGGUCCGAGCGUUGUCCGGAAUCUUUGGGCGUAAAGGGUACGUAGGCGGGUAAGCAAGUUAGAAGUGAAAUCCUAUAGCUCAACUAUAGUAAGCUUUUAAAACUGCUCAGCUUGAGGGAUGGAAGGGAAAGUGGAAUUCCUAGUGGAGCGGUGAGAUGCGCAGAUAUUAGGAGGAAUACCGGUGGCGAAGGCGACUUUCUGGCCAUAACCUGACGCUGAGGUACGAAAGCGUGGGUAGCAAACAGG
rnacentral:rRNA from 1 species